rnacentral:lncRNA from 1 species
UAGUUGGAUUUCUUUCCAAGCAUGGUCCUUCCAGGAGAGAAAGGCUGACAGCUUCUGCAAAUGAAGCAAGAACACAAAUAUUCUAUGUUCCUCCGCACAAGUUUUCUCAGUUUCUCGAAGAAUCUUCAUUGCUUUUUGGUGACUCGAGGUAUAUAAGGCUUAUCAUCUUUUGUUAGUACAGCACUCGAGGUAUACAAGGCUCAUCAUCGUAGUACAGCACUACUCACAUUUUCUCAAUUCUGUAUGGAUAUGCAAGUUCUUACAAGUUCUCAGGGAAACACUAAAAAAAAUGUAUUGGUUGUAUGUUGCUGGCAUUCCAGUUAGACGUGGAUUAUUCAGAUUAAGCAGAUUUCUGUGUGCUACCCUUUCAUUGUGUGGCUUCAUGCCUUUUGGAUGCAGUGGUCCAAGUAAUUGAAACAACACCCUGUUAUGAGUGCACUUCAUGAGGAUGAUGGAACUCAUCUAUAUUCUGGACUCUGACCUUCAUGGAUCAAAUUAAUUCCAUUUUUUUGUUAGAUAGAUAAAGAUAAAGGUAUCGAAAACAAUAGAUGGAAAAUGUGAGCUGAAAUGGCAGACUACAAUCUACAGGUUUAAAAGUAUAUGAAACCUGACAAU